UGCAUAUCAAUAAGCGGAGGAAAAGAAACUAACAAGGAUUCCCCUAGUAGCGGCGAGCGAAGCGGGAAGAGCUCAAAUUUAUAAUCUGGCGCUUUCAGCGUCCGAGUUGUAAUCUCUAGAAGUGUUUUCCGCGUUGGACCGCACAUAAGUCUGUUGGAAUACAGCGGCACAGUGGUGAGACCCCCGUAUACGGUGCGGAUGCCCAAUGCUUUGUGAUACACUUUCGAAGAGUCGAGUUGUUUGGGAAUGCAGCUCAAAUUGGGUGGUAAAUUCCAUCUAAAGCUAAAUAUUGGCGAGAGACCGAUAGCGAACAAGUACCGUGAGGGAAAGAUGAAAAGCACUUUGGAAAGAGAGUUAACAGUACGUGAAAUUGUUGGAAGGGAAACGCUUGAAGUCAGACUUGCUUUUCGGGGUUUACUCCGGUUGGCAGGCCAGCAUCAGUUUUCCGGGGCGGAAAAUCACGGUUAGAAGGUAGCAGUUUCGGCUGUGUUAUAGCUUUCCGUUGGAUACGUCCUGGGGGACUGAGGAACGCAGUGUGCUUUUAGCGAGGGCUUCGGCCCUUCACACUUAGGAUGCUGGUGGAAUGGCUUUAAACGACCCGUCUUGAAACACGGAC
rnacentral:rRNA from 1 species